rnacentral:lncRNA from 1 species
CCAUCAGCCUCCCAAAGUGCUAGGAUUACAGGCGUGAGCCACCGUGCCCGGCCGUGCCAGGGUUUUCUAUUGAGUUUCUUGCCAAGGGUGACUUCCAAUAACAAUCCCCCCCUGCACUUUGCUUAGUUCUGGAAAGCUCAGGCCGCACAGGGUGAAUAAAAGCCUGAGUAGUGCAGUCCCCAUGGAGGGGCAGGGGUGCCACAAGGUGGGCAGCAGCUGGGAUGGGCAUUGUGAGGCACUGGGGGGGCUGUGGGGCUGGACAUGGUGAGUCACUAGCCUGACCUGUUUCCUGGUAACCAGGUGACAUAGGAAGCUUUGUGGGUUAUAGGCAUUAGCCAGGCCAGCAGCCCUCAGUCGGUAGCUGGCAGUGGAGGGAGGAGGAGCUCCGACUGUGCUCUUUGACGGCAGUUUUUGUGCCUCUUGGCGCUUGUCGUGUUUCUUUUUGAGUCAGCUCCGACUGUGGCUGGCCCAGGGGGAAGGCAGCAUCCAGUUAUGAAUCUGAUAUUUAUGAGGCCGUGGCUGCUGCAACAUCAGAAUCCACUACCGUAGAGCCUGGCAAGCUGGAUGUGGGAGCCACGGAGGGCCAAGACCUGCAGCACAUCAGCAACCAAAAGAUGCCCACAGCUUCUGUUCUGGACCUGGAAGAUAUUGCGCUUGAUAUUGCGGAGGAGGUGUUAUCUGAAAUGGUCCCCCUGAGGACCGCCUGAGUUUAAAACUUCUACCACCAAGUGAGGAAGACAAUGAUGACACCAAGAUUUUACCAUCACCUAUCCAGGAGUGGAUUCUGGAGAAUCUCAGCAGGGAAGAGGAUACCUUUCCAGGUAGGCAAGAAGACUUCAGGUGGGAUCUAAUAAA